ensembl:snoRNA M7.15 ncRNA
AUGACAAAGCGAGAGAGUGAGAGAAGCAGUUGAUCAUGUGAUUCCACUGAUUCAAUUCAGUGUGGACGUGAGUGAACUUGCACUUUUCUGAUGGUUA